rnacentral:lncRNA from 1 species
AAUAAGCAGCCUCAAGAAGUGGGAGGUGGGAGACCCUCUAGAAAGAGACCCAGGAGGUGAGAAACUCUCAGGACUCAUUGGAGGUAACCUUAGCCAAAAAUGCCCAACACUGGGGAGAGGGAACUUGAAGAAUCUACCUCCAAUAUAUAGACAGGCUCUCAAGUGUAGGGACAGGGUUACUAACCCACAAUGAAAAUUACUGACUCAGAAUUUUUCCUGUCUAAAAGAACUGCAGGGACAAAAAUAGAGACUGAAGGGAAGAAGGUCCAGUAACAGCCCCAAAUUGAGAUCCACCUCAAGAGGAGGCUCUAAGGCAUGACUAUUACUGAUGCUAUGAUGUGCUUACAGACAGGAGCCUGACAUAGCUGUCUUCUGAGAGGCCCUACCAGCAGCUGACUGAGACAGAUGCAGAUACUUACACCCAACCAUCGGACUGAAGUCGGGGACCCCUAUAGUUGAAUUGGGGAAGGACUGAAGAAGCUGAGUAGAGAAGGCGACCCCAUAGGAAGACCAACAGACUCAGCUAACCCAGACUCUAGGGAGCUCCCAGAGACUGAGCCACCAACCAGGAAAAUACCUGGGCUGGUCUGAGGUCCCUGGCACAAAUUAGCAGAGAUCUGCAAGGUCUGGAUUUUCACAGAGGAAAGAUACAAGCUCAGAUUGGAGGUGGCUGGACCAGAGGGGCAGGGCAACUUGAAGGUUUGUGAGACCAGAUGAUGCCAACACAAGCUCCAGAUUCCAGUACAGAACUGAUUUGGUGUUUGCCCUGAUGAGUUUUAAUCAUGUUUUGGUCCAAUCAUCUCUGACUAUUCUUUUCAGUACCUUUCUGUAAUGGGAAUAUUUACUCUAUGCCAUUAUAUUGUGGCACAUUGGAAGUAUGUAGUUUGAUUUUUUUUUCCUAAAAAUUUACUGGUGGCUUACAGUUAAAAGAUUGCUUUGAAACUUAGAAGAGCUUUGAACUUACAGCAAAGCUAGUGCUCCUACCAGAGUGAACUGCACUGUCAAACUCUGAGCCAGAAGAAAUCCUUCAGUGUGCUGCUUUUCUCAAGGGUUUCGUAGCAUUUAUAACAAAAGAAACGAAUUCAGGAGCUAAGGAUGGCACAGAUGACAGUGUGUGGUCAUUCAGAGAUGCAUCAAUCAUGUAUUCCUUUGUUAUUGUUUUAAUGGGGGAAUUCUUAAUUGCAAAGGGUGGUUAACAUAAAUUUGAUCAUUAUAGGUAAGGUUAUUUAGAAGUAAGAUAACUCCAGAGAGUUAAAUGUCUUUUUUUCAAAUGUAUUUACAAAAUCAUAAUUCUGGUAUAUUUUAAAUAAAUCUAUCACAUUAUUAUUUUUAACUGAAUAAAGAUUAUAUUUGAAAUUU